rnacentral:rRNA from 1 species
UACAGAGGGUGCGAGCGUUAAUCGGAAUUACUGGGCGUAAAGCGUGCGUAGACGGUCAAGUAAGUCGGGUGUGAAAGCCCCGGGCUCAACCUGGGAAUUGCAUUCGAUACUGGAUAGCUAGAGUUCGGCAGAGGGAAGCGGAAUUUCCGGUGUAGCGGUGAAAUGCGUAGAUAUCGGAAGGAACAUCAGUGGCGAAAGCGGCUUCCUGGACCAGAACUGACGAUCAGGCUCGAAAGCGUGGGGAGCAAACAGG